rnacentral:tRNA from 2 species
CGCCUGCUUUGGGAGCAGGAUGUCAGGAGUUCGAAUCCCCUUACCCCGACCA